AGAGUUUGAUCCUGGCUCAGAAUCAACGCUGGCGGCGUGCCUCAGACAUGCAAGUCGAACGAUUAAAGCUCUCUUCGGAGAGUGUAUAGAGUGGCGCACGGGUGAGUAACACGUAAGUAAUCUACCUUUGAGUGGGGAAUAACAUCGGGAAACCGAUGCUAAUACCGCAUAAUGCAGCGGCAUCGCAAGAUGACAGUUGUUAAAGAUUUAUCGCUUGAAGAGGAGCUUGCGGCAGAUUAGCUAGUUGGUAAGGUAAUGGCUUACCAAGGCUACGAUCUGUAACCGGUCUAAGAGGACGGUCGGUCACACUGACACUGAAUAACGGGUCAGACUCCUACGGGAGGCAGCAGUCGGGAAUUUUGGGCAAUGGGCGAAAGCCUGACCCAGCAACGCCGCGUGAAGGAUGAAGUAUUUCGGUAUGUAAACUUCGAAAGAAUGGGAAGAAUAAAUGACGGUACCAUUUAUAAGGUCCGGCUAACUACGUGCCAGCAGCCGCGGUAAUACGUAGGGACCAAGCGUUGUUCGGAUUUACUGGGCGUAAAGGGCGCGUAGGCGGCCCUACAAGUCACUUGUGAAAUCUCCGGGCUUAACUCGGAACGGCCAAGUGAAACUGUAGAGCUAGAGUGUGGAAGGGGCAAUCGGAAUUCUUGGUGUAGCGGUGAAAUGCGUAGA
rnacentral:rRNA from 1 species